rnacentral:rRNA from 1 species
ACGGGAGGCAGCAGUAGGGAAUAUUGCACAAUGGGGGGAACCCUGAUGCAGCAACGCCACGUGUGGGAAGAAGCAUUUCGGUGUGUAAACCACUGUCGAUAGGGAAUAAAGCCUUCUUUCGGGGGGGUUGAAUGUACCUCGGAAGGAAGCACCGGCAAACUUCGUGCCAGCAGCCGCGGUAAUACGAGGGGUGCAAGCGUUGUUCGGAAUCACUGGGCGUAAAGGGAGCGCAGGCGGAGAUGCAAGCAGUCUGUACAAUACCGGGGCCCAACCCCGGACCUGCAGACUGGACUGUUUCUCUUGGAUAGUUCAGGGGCAAGCGGAAUUCCUGGUGUAGCGGUGGGAUGCGUAGAGAUCAGGAAGAACACCGAUGGCGAAGGCAGCUUGCUGGGGACUUAUCGACGCUCAUGCUCGAAAGUGCGGGUAGCAAACAGGAUUAGAUACCCUGGUA